UACCAGGUGUAAUUCGCAGCAUUUGUGUGCGUGUCCUACCAGUUAUAAUUCGCAGCGGUUGUGUGCGUGUCCUGCCAGGUGUAAUUCGUAGCAGUUGUGUGCGUGUC